rnacentral:tRNA from 1 species
GAGGGGGUAGCUCAGUGGUAGAGCGCUGCUUAGCGUGCUCGAGGUCCUGGGUUCAAACCCCAGCACCUCCA